rnacentral:other from 1 species
ACAUCCCUGCUCUGUUGGUGAUCAGUAAAAUAUUAAGCCAACUCUUCAUUCUAGGGUAGCCUUGCCGUUGCUCAAUGGGAAGCCCACGGGCUUGCCAGGCCCAACCUUGGAUCUGCCCACCUAAUGUACUUAGGUUUAAUCAUUUUGCUGACACGGCAGCGCGGGGGUUUU